rnacentral:tRNA from 1 species
GGAGAUUUUAGCUUAAUUAAAGUGCCUGAGUUGCAAUCAGGGGAUGUAGAAUAAAGAUUUACAGGUCUU